UUUAUGCACCAUCCGGACCAUCACGGACAGCUCCUGUUGAUGUGUUAAUGCGUGCCCCCUUGUUUGGCCCACAUGUCAGUCAAAUGCUGUCGAGAAAAUAAAAAAGAGAAGGGCGCGCGCGGGGAGAUGAAGUUGACCAGCCAGCCAAAAAAAAAGGCAAAGUCCAAGAGCGCGCGGAGGUGCAAAAUUUUAAGUCGCCGACGCGCGGGUGGCAAUAUUUUUGAGCCAGCCCAUUUAACUCCAUGGUCCACUCCCACCUAACCCUAAUUCCCAUUCUCUCCCAUUCCCUCGGCCGCCGCCACUCCUAUCCUUCUCUGCCGCUCCACACCAGCACCGGAGACAGCACAGAACCACCCUUACCUCUCCCGAUCCACCACUCCGUGCCCGCCUCCAUCCAUCAUCUGUCCUCUUCCUUCUCCGUGUCCGGUGAACAAGCACGGCGAGCUCCGAAGGUCACCUCCUACGACGCGGAGGCGCGCGUGGGUGGGGCUCCUGAGAUCCGUGGUAGUGUCGACCAGACGGCAACGACGGCGGCGUCCGCGAAGAUGCGAGAUCCGUCAUCACGGCGGCGUCCGCGAAGAUGCGAGAUCCAUGGUGGUGGCGUGCCGAGGUGAGGUACAUGAUGUGGCGACACCGCCACAGAUCCAAAGUACAGCCCUUGUGGCUGGGUCCAGUUAUCCGUCAGCCACGCCGCCGUCGGUCCCCUCGUCGUUGCGGAUGUCUUCUCCAUCCGUGCAGAGGUGAUGGAUUUUGUACAACUGUAUUUCUGGAAAUGCGUGUACACAGAAUUACAAUCUGAAGGAGCGAUGGAAGUGAAGAUUGCGCGCUUUUAUUUAAGAUUACUAAUAGUAAAUGGUAUAUUGUUUUUGCUUCAGAUUUAGGAGUGUUAGAUCGGCUACAUAGUGCAUUUGUUCAGUCUCAAAUUGCUAGUGUUAUUACUAGCAUAUUCUCUAAUUCUUGGUAUUAUUCAACAUCUACUCUGUCUCAAUUUUGUAUCACAUCUCAUAUUGAAUUGUGGAUCAUCAUUUUGCUUAAAAUGGUCUUGCCUUUGAGUGUUUUGAUUUUAUGCAGGUUUGGCAGUUAAUCUGUGUUCCUGGAGAUUGAACUUUUUCAGCGAGAAUUAUUUGGGUUCGGAAGCUGCCCUGAAGCGGUGCUGAAGUGUUGGAGACUAAAAAUCUGCUAGUAGUGCAUUUUCUUUGAAGCCAUGUUACUCUUUUCUUUAACAAAAAUGCUUAAAGCGCUUUCUAGAUAUGCUUGUGAUGUUUUGAAGUCAUGUUUGAACACUGUAUUGUCAUGUGAACAAUUGAUAUUUUUGAAUGAAUAUAAUUUGGUUGUCCUAUUGUAAA